rnacentral:misc_RNA from 1 species
GGCCCGUGAAGAAGUAAAUUACCGUCCGAUAACCCAUGACGCUAUGAAGGCUGUAAAACAGAGGCC